UGUAAAAGGACUAAACUUCAGCCAGGAGAACAACAACUGAUAAUCCAUCCACAAUACGAGGCAGAAAGGAGUGCGCCCAGGAAGAAUGCAGAAGGUCCAUGAGGCUGGCAACAUAUAUAAAAGAAUAAAAGACAGGAAGCACAAAAUCAUGAAAAGGGGUCUCCACUGUGGAUCAUCUGCCUUCAACUCACCGUAUCCCAGCAUCCUCCUCCAUCAUGCCACCUCUCUGUCCUCUCUCACUUUAUCAUAAACUUCCUCUGUUCAUCAUUUCAUCAUUUCUUCUGUUUACUGUCCUUUUCCCAGUAU